rnacentral:rRNA from 1 species
CAGCCGCCGCGGUAAUACGGAGGGUGCAAGCGUUAAUCGGAAUUACUGGGCGUAAAGCGUGCGCAGGCGGUUUUGUAAGACAGAGGUGAAAUCCCCGGGCUCAACCUGGGAACUGCCUUUGUGACUGCAAGGCUAGAGUACGGCAGAGGGGGAUGGAAUUCCGCGUGUAGCAGUGAAAUGCGUAGAUAUGCGGAGGAACACCGAUGGCGAAGGCAAUCCCCUGGGCCUGUACUGACGCUCAUGCACGAAAGCGUGGGGAGCAAACAGGAUUAGAUACCCCCGUAGUCCCUGUCUCUUAUAC